CAAUAGCGUAUAUUAAAGUUGUUGCGGUUAAAAAGCUCGUAGUUGGAGUUCUGCCAGGUGCCGCCUGUCCGCCCCAGUGGUGAGUACGUGGCGCGCAUUUGGCCCUUUCAAGGGGAGCGUAUCUGCACUUUAUUGUGUGGUGCGGGAUCCUUGACUUUUACUUUGAGGAAAUAGGAGUGUUCCAAGCAGGCUCUCGUCGUGCACAGCUCAGCAUGGAAUAAUAGCAUUGGACCUCGAUUCUAAGCUGUUGGUUGCCAGAAGCGAGGUAAUGAUGAAGAGGGAUAGUUGGGGGCAUUCGUAUUUAACUGUCAGAGGUGAAAUUCUUGGAUUUGUUAAAGACGGAUUACUGCGAAAGCAUCUGCCAUGGAUGUUUUCAUUGA
rnacentral:rRNA from 1 species